rnacentral:rRNA from 1 species
CCUUUAGAGAUAGAGGAGUGCCUUCGGGAACGCUGAGACAGGUGCUGCAUGGCUGUCGUCAGCUCGUGUUGUGAAAUGUUGGGUUAAGUCCCGCAACGAGCGCAACCCUUAUCCUUUGUUGCCAGCACGUAAUGGUGGGAACUCAAAGGAGACUGCCGGUGAUAAACCGGAGGAAGGUGGGGAUGACGUCAAGUCAUCAUGGCCCUUACGAGUAGGGCUACACACGUGCUACAAUGGCAGAUACAAAGAGAAGCGACCUCGCGAGAGCAAGCGGAACUCAUAAAGUCUGUCGUAGUCCGGAUUGGAGUCUGCAACUCGACUCCAUGAAGUCGGAAUCGCUAGUAAUCGUAGAUCAGAAUGCUACGGUGAAUACGUUCCCGGGCCUUGUACACACCG